AUUCCGGGGUGGUUCCUGCCGGAGGCCAUUGCUAUCGGAGUCCGAUUUAGCCAUGCUAGUCGUGCGAGAUUCAGACUCGCGGCACCGAGCUCAGUAACACGUGGCCAAACUACCCUACAGAGACGGAUACCCUCGGGAAACUGAGGUUAACCCGUCAUACCGAUCUCAGGCUUGAAUCGCAGAGAUCACAAAACGCCCCGGCGCUGUAGGAUGUGGCUGCGGUUGAUUAGGUAGGCGGUGGGGUAACGGCCCACCGUGCCCAUAAUCAGUACAGGUUGUGAGAGCAAGAACCUGGAGACGGAAUCUGAGACAAGAUUCCGGGCCCUACGGGGCGCAGCAGGCGCGAAACCUUUACACUGCACGCACGUGCGAUAAGGGGACUCCGAGUGCGAGGGCAUAUCGUCCUCGCUUUCGUGUACCGUAGGGUGGUACACCAACAAGGGCUGGGCAAGACCGGUGCCAGCCGCCGCGGUAAUACCGGCAGCCCGAGUGAUGGCCGAUCUUAUUGGGCCUAAAGCGUCCGUAGCU
rnacentral:rRNA from 1 species